AACUUCCAAUGGAAUGACCACGAGUGUCAAUGGCCUGUCAACUCCAUCUGCGAAAUGAAUCGUCAAAGCAGCGAAGUGAUUGUGGGAUAAGUUUUGCUGGAGCAGGAACUAGCAGAAUACGGAAACCAGAAUAGCUAUCAAGUGUUCCGCCGUCAAUAUUUACGUUUGUAAAUACGCGUUUAUGGAAAUAUAUUUAUGAGAAACUAGAA